rnacentral:rRNA from 1 species
CCUACGGGGGGCUGCAGUGAGGAAUAUUGGUCAAUGGCCGUAAGGCUGAACCAGCCAAGUAGCGUGAAGGAUGACGGCCCUACGGGUUGUAAACUUCUUUUGUCAGGGAGCAAUUGGGUCCACGCGUGGGCUUAGCGAGAGUAACUGAAGAAAAAGCAUCGGCUAACUCCGUGCCAGCAGCCGCGGUAAUACGAAGGAUGCGAGCGUUAUCCGGAUUUGUUGGGUUUAAAGGGUGCGUAGGCGGAAUAUCAAGUCAGCGGUAAAAAUUCGGGGCUCAACCCCGUCGUGCCGUUGAGACUGAUGUUCUUGAGUGGGCGAGAAGUAUGCGGAAUGCGUGGUGUAGCGGUGAAAUGCAUAGAUAUCACGUAGAACUCCGAUUGCGAAGGCAGCAAACCGGCGCCCAACUGACGCUGAAGCACGAAAGCGUGGGUAUCGAACAGGAUUAGAUACCCGGGUAGUC